CUGUAGGUGACUGCAGAAGGAGGAGGAGCUCCAUCUGUACUCUCUUCAGGCAGUUGUGUCUCUCAGUGCUUGUUGGGUUCACACCUAUUAAAUAAGCUGGCUGGUCUUCACCCUCCAAGAGAAGUCAACUCAUGGGAGGUGGCAGGGUACAGGCAUUGGCCCAAGCUGUGGCUGGGGCCAGGCUGUGGUGUCGGCAGGCAAGCAGCAGACAAGACCAUCUCUGCAAGUGCAGCACAGCCUCAGCCUAGGGCAACGGGAGUGUGAGGCCAAAGCUGUGAGCAGAGGCAUAGAUUUACCUUUGGAGUCCAACCCUUCUGACCAUCCAGAGGCAAGCACAAUAUUCCUGAGAAAAUCUCAAAUAGAUGUGUGACCUUGGUGAUAUAUUAACAUAUCAAGCAAAGAGAUGCAGAUAGAUCUUUGGGCAUAUUUGAUGAACGGUUACACCCAUUUACAUGAGAAGACGUUUUGGAGGAAUAUUUUAAAUAUGAUCCUUAACACAAAUUGGUUUUCAGUUUUGUUUGUAUUCUGUUUAAAGCCAUAAGGCUAACAGCUGAAUUUGCAAUUGUAAGUUUGGAAUGAGUUGGAAAGGGAAUUCUUGAAGCUAAUUAAUUACAAUAUCAGCGUUACUGGCAGUGUUUAUAGCAGAUUCUACUUCAAUCUUCGAACCAUGGCACAUGACAACAGCCUGUAUUCGCUAGUUUAUCUUCUUGACAGAGAAAGAGCAUGGAAGCUGGAGGCUUUUUCAAGGAUGGAACAAGACAAAGUUUUCUAUAGUGCUGCCAAGAACAGGUCUUUGAGUGCUGAUGAUUUAAUUCAUUUUCAGCGUGCUAAGGCCAUCCUCUUCUGAAGGAAGAAAAGAAGGGUAGUGUAAACCCUCAUUUUGAUGUGAUCUGAACCUCUCAUCAAAAAAGGCAGGAAAAUAUCACCUCUCCUGCUAAAGAACUAGAAAAGUUGAUAUUUUCAAAAGAAGAAACACCUCAAUUCAAGUUAACUCAAGGACAACUAAAUGGCACUUCAUAGUAAAGAAUGGGACCUUGUCAGGGCAACAACACACUCUUACAUUCUUCUGUCCCAUUUAAUGUAAACAGAGUUAUAAAAACCACUCCAAAGUGAAGACUCCUUCUACCCACACACAGAUAUUUGCUUAGUAUGUGGACUGAUAGCUGUGAACUACGUAAGGCUUUUAAAACAAUAGUUUAACUUUUUAGAUUUUAAAGAUAACUUUUCUGUUUCUUUUAUGUUUUCUCUUUUCCCCAAUAUUGCUGCAUACACAUUUGGAAUCAGUGCAGUAUCACUGUUAAAACAUGGGAGUCUAACAAUUCCUAAAGCCACUAGGAGCAGACCCAACAUUGUCAGGUAUGGAAGGGCUCUUCCUUCCUACUUUUACCAUGGAAGCUACUAGUUACUGGCGAUCAUCAAGCAAAAGCUGCCAGACAGCAUUUGCCAUUCAUAUCCUUUGUAAGCCCUUCUUAUUAGCAGUUUAGCAUGUUUAGGGUCAUAAAAAGAGAAAGUAUUGGUUAUUGAUUAUCUACUUUUAUGAAGGUCUAUAGUGUAUUUCUUGUGAACUAUAAUGGUUCUCAUUUGCUGAUAAAGUUUCUUAUUGUUAAGUAAAUGUGUUCAAAGAUGUUUUCACAGUGCCAAGCAGAAUGGUGGUCCAGUGGUUAUAUAAAAAUAAUAAAAUAUGAGGUACCCUGAAACUUUCAGGGCAGUUUUUAGCUUUAAUAUAGUGUGCCUGGGCCCUCCAGAGGACUGCAGCAUAUGUAUACAUGCUGUAAAUCUUUACAAAAUAUCAUUUGAAAGUGUAAUUGUAUUUCUUCUUUUUAACAGAUGGUGCCUCGCUAUAUUGCCCAAGCUACAGUGCAAUGAGUAAUCAGAGACACAAUCAUAACGCACCACAGCCUGAAAAUCCUGGCCUCAAGCAAUCUUCCCAUGUCAGCCUACCAGGUAACUGGGACCAUAGGUGUGUACCACCACCUCUGGCUUUAUUUUACAGAAUUUGAAUGUUAAGCUUUUAACUUUUUGUUUCAGUCAAUAUCUGCUAUCUUCAAGAAGGACUGAAACAAAAAAUUAAAAGCUUAAUAUUCAGGAGCUAGGCAUGCUUGUAGUCCCAGCUACUCACGAGGCUUAAAUGGGAGGAUCACUUGAGGCCUAACCUUGGAGGCUGCAGUGCACUGUGAUUGUGCCUGUAAAUAGCCAUUGCACUCCAGCCUUGGCAACUUAAUGAGACCGUGUCACCUUAAAAAAUGGCAAAACUAAAUAAACGUAAAAGAAAUACAACAAGCUUUUCAAUUAUGUUUUGUAAAUAUUUCUAGCAUUGUUACUUUUACAAGGAUCAAAGCUUAAAAUUACACUAAGACUUUUGGAAUUCUUGUGUUUUUACAAAGUGCCCUUUUCUCUUGUAAAGUAGCUCUUUGCAAGGCUUUUAUCUGCAAUGAUCACCUCAAAUUAUUUUCCCUAGAUGUGAUAAAGAGGAGGAUCUGUGUUAAUUCACAUGUAACGAAUUAGAAGGAAUUGGACCCCAAUAGUAGUAGGUGAUGUAAUACAUUUUAUUAUCCCACAUGUUAGCCUGAGUGCAGGUAUCAUAUUUCAUGUCCUGCUAUUUAAAAAGAACUUCCAUAAACCUUAGGAACCCUACCUCCUGAAAAAGUAUCACUUAUGGAAUGCAGAGCUUAGAGAUUGAAGUAUUGAUUGCAGUUUUAUUUUCAAAAGAUAAAUGCUACAACUGAUGUGGUUUUCAUUUCUCAUGUUUAUAUUAAAAGAAAACCUAGUAAAUUA
rnacentral:lncRNA from 10 species